CACAAAUAAAGAGACCUCCUCUUUUCCCAUCACUGCUCACUCUUCAGUGUUGUCUCCAUAUCUUCUCUGAGGUAUCUUUGAGGGUUUGGCGUCAUUGGUGGACAUCGGAGGUGGAAGCAACUGGUUAUUGUUGAAGCUUUUCCGGUAAUUACAUGAGAAGAAUUGAAGAAGAGAUAAUAAUAAUAAGAAGACUUACCACCUUGCAAAAAGAUUGAAUCUUUUUGUAUUCUUGAAAAGAUAAAUCUGAGAG